CCUACGGGAGGCAGCAGUUAGGAAUCUUCCACAAUGGGCGCAAGCCUGAUGGAGCGACACUGCAUGAGGGAUGAAGGUUUUCGGAUCGUAAACCUCUGAAUCAGGGACGAUAAUGACGGUACCUGAGUAAUAGCACCGGCUAACUCCGUGCCAGCAGCCGCGGUAAUACGGAGGGUGCGAGCGUUAUCCGGAAUCACUGGGCGUAAAGGGCACGUAGGCGGUCUGCUAAGUCCGAUGUUAAAGAGUGGGGCUCAACCCCAUCACGGCGUUGGAUACUGGCAGGCUUGACGACUGGAGAGGAAAGUAGAAUUACCAGUGUAGCGGUGAAAUGCGUAGAUACUGGUAGGAAUACCCAUUGCGAAGGCAGCUUUCUGGACAGUUUGUGACGCUGAGGUGCGAAAGUGUGGGGAGCAAACCGGAUUAGAUACCCGGGUAGUCCACACCCUAAACGAUGCAUACUUGGUGUCAGGUCGUUGGACUUGGCGCCGGAGCCAACGCGU
rnacentral:rRNA from 1 species